rnacentral:rRNA from 1 species
CCUACGGGAGGCAGCAGUGAGGAAUAUUGGUCAAUGGUCGGGAGACUGAACCAGCCAAGCCGCGUGAGGGAUGAAGGUACAGAGUAUCGUAAACUUCUUUUGUCAGGGAACAAAGGCGGGCACGCGUCCCCGUUUGAGUGUACCUGAAGAAUAAGCAUCGGCUAAAUCCGUGCCAGCAGCCGCGGUAAUACGGAGGAUGCGGGCGUUAUCCGGAUUUAUUGGGUUUAAAGGGGGCGCAGGCGGGAUGUUAAGCAGGCCGGCAAAUGCCGGGGCUCAACCCCGGCCCCGCGGUGGAAACUGGCUGUCUCGAGUGUGCGGAACGUAUGCGGAAUGCGCGGUGUAGCGGUGAAAUGCAUAGAUAUCACGAAGAACUCCGAUUGCGAAGGCAGCAUGCCGGCUCGACACUGACGCUGAGGCACGAAGGCGCGGGUAUCGAACAGGAUUAGAUACCCCAGUAGUC